UACUUUAUAGAAUUACAGCCUGAUGCGCUUGCAUCUUUGAAUUCAACGUCAGUUACGCAGCUUUUGUAUGUCCAGUUAACAGCACGCAGCGGAGGGAAAGUGUACAUAGAUACAUGCCACAGUCCUAGCUAGGCUACUAAAAUGUUGCAGUCUGGCUUUUUAAACUUGACAAUGAAUCAAAACAGAAAAAACGAGACAUGAAUGGGAGGGGGACAGAACCCCUCUAAUGAAAGUCAAGAAGGACCAAUGUUUGGCGGGGUCAUUUGCAGAAUCCAAAUUAUCAGCAUUGUGUAUCCUACUUUUGGUGGAGCCAGAGAGUAUCUUCUAACAUUCCAACACCUGCACCCGUCAUCACAAAAGGUGGCUCCAAGCAGAGGCAGUGCCCCCUACAGGAUAACCCUGUCAUUGCAGACAGUCCAGACUUUAUGCUGCCCCCCUUCCACCCGUACCAGCCCUUGGAGUCCAUUGUGAAAGAGACAGAGUGCAAGCUGAUCUCCAGCCAUAGAGAAGACCCAGCUGCAGAAUAAGAUGAUCCUCAAGGAGCAGUAAACUAAAGAGUAAAUGAAGGCCGAAGGCCUGAACGAUGACCCGGGCAGCCCCUUCGCACUUUGGCCUCCCAGCAGUCCAGACUUUAGUACAGCAGACUACCCCGACAGCUCCAGCCCUGACCUGCUGAUGCUGAUGGUGAGUCAGCAGUAGAUGUUGGGGCAGCAGUUGACAGGCUUGGGACCGGCCUUCUCACCCAGGCCCCCGACGGACUACUAGUGGCCUUCCCCCUACAGAUCGUCACAGACACGCCGGUUGACAUCAUGGCAGAUACAGUGCCUUCCAAAAGUAUUCACACCCUUUUCAGCACAUUUUGUUGUGUUACAAAGUGGGAUACAAAUUGAUUUAAUUGUCAUUUUUUGUCAACGACUCUAACACUUGUAGAAUUCUAACACUUGUAAAAAUGUACAGUUUAAAAAAGGAAAAUAAAACACUUGAUUAGAUAAGUAUUCAACCCCCUGAGUUAAUACACCUUUUGCAACAUUUACAGCAGUGAGUCUUUCUGAGUAAGUCUCUUAAGAGCUUUGCAUACCUGAAUUGUACAAUAUUUGCCCAUUAUUCUUUUUUAAAUUCUUCAAGCUUUUUAAAUUCUUCAAGUUGGUUGUU